rnacentral:rRNA from 1 species
UUGUUGGUAAGGUAAAAGCUUACCAAGGCUUCGAUCAGUAGCUGGUCUGAGAGGACGACCAGCCACACUGGGACUGAGACACGGCCCAGACUCCUACGGGAGGCAGCAGUGGGGAAUUUUGGACAAUGGGGGCAACCCUGAUCCAGCCAUGCCGCGUGAGUGAAGAAGGCCCUCGGGUUGUAAAGCUCUUUCAGCCGGAACGAAACGGUUACGGUUAACACCCGUGACUACUGACGGUACCGGAAGAAGAAGCACCGGCUAACUACGUGCCAGCAGCCGCGGUAAUACGUAGGGUACGAGCGUUAAUCGGAAUUACUGGGCGUAAAGCGUGCGCAGGUGGUUUUGUAAGUCAGAUGUGAAAGCCCCGGGCUCAACCUGGGAACUGCGUUUGAAACUACAAGACUAGAGUGUGGCAGAGGGGGGUGGAAUUCCGCGUGUAGCAGUGAAAUGCGUAGAGAUGUGGAGGAACACCGAUGGCGAAGGCAGCCCCCUGGGUCAACACUGACGCUCAGGCACGAAAGCAUGGGGAGCAAACAGGAUUAGAUACCCUGGUAGUCCAUGCCCUAAACGAUGUCAACUAGUUGUCGGGCCUUUACGGGCUUGGUAACGUAGCUACGCGUGAAGUUGACCGCCUGGGGAGUACGAUCGCAAGAUUAAAACUCAAAUGAAUUGACGGGGACCCGCACAAGCGGUGGAUUAUGUGGAUUAAUUCGAUGCAACGCGAAAAACCUUACCUACCCUUGACAUGUAUCGAAGCCCGCAGAAAAGCGGGGGUGCCCGAAAGGGAACGAUAACACAGGUGCUGCAUGGCUGUCGUCAGCUCGUGUCGUGAGAUGUUGGGUUAAGUCCCGCAACGAGCGCAACCCUUGUCAUUAAUUGCCAUCAUUUAGUUGGGCACUUUAAUGAGACUGCCGG